AGUAAUAUGGCUGAUUUAAAGUAAUAAAUUGUAAAUUUAUAUAUAAAUAGGAAUUCUAUUUUAUUACUA
rnacentral:tRNA from 1 species